GGCAAAAUCAGAAAAUACAAAAUUAAAAUAAAAACAAAAACAACCCAAUAACACUUUCCCCCAACACAUUUUAAAACGGCAUAGGAUGUCAGUCAUCCAAAAGCCUGGUUAAAGAGGAAUGUUCUUGCCUGGUGCCUAAAGGUGUAUAAUGAAGGCACAUACUUGAUUUACAGUACAAAUCCUAUACACGUCUCUUCAGAAGUAAGCCCCAUUGAGGUUUGGGGAGCUUACUCUGAGAUAAGUGGGUUUGCCAUUGCACCUGGGAGUAAGUCCUAUUGAACUCAAUGGGGCUUACUUCUGAGGAAAUACGUAUAUAAUUAGAGAGUGAUGCUGCCAAAGUAAGCACACUUACUAUGGAGUAAAUUCUAUAGAACACAAUGGGAUUUAAUAGUAAAUAUGUCUACUGUUGUGCUGUAAUUGUACAUCUUUUAACUGAGUGUUUAAUUGCUUCGAUUUGCAUAUGAAUAAAAACAAUUGUUAGGAAGAAACAAAUAUGCUGAAGAAACAUGUAUACAAUCUUGCUGAAGUCAAGCCAUUUUAAGUGCAGCUGAUUUGAAUGGGAAAAUUAAUAUUUUGCUUAAAUUCUUGAUACUGAAAUUAAUGGGAUUUUGAAAGUGCUUUGGUUGGAUCAGACGUUUCCGUUUUGCUUUUAGAAUAUUUAGCAAGCUACUCUCUAUAAAAUAGCUGCAGCGUCUAGCUGCUAAACUACUGUUGGUUUGUUCACAUGUGAACAAGUUUGUUGACAUUUCCAGGACCCAUGCCUCAUUGUGAAUCUGAAUGGACAGUUCAUCCCCAUUCUAUAUGUGGAUGGGACUAACGUCAGCCUAUCCUGCUUCCAUGUGGAUUUAAAAUGGAGAUUCUUUUACAGUCCACAUGAUCAUAAGAACAUAAGACGAGCUGGAUCAGGUCUUUGAAUUCCAAGGCCUUUUUUAAAAUCUCCAAAAUCAGCCAUGUACCUGCCCAUAGCCUACCCCCACAGGCUGCCUGCUAGUGCAUUUUUGAAUUGCAAUAAAGCAGUCCCUCACCCCACCCCCAGAGCAACAGGACAAUGACAAGAAAAAUACAUGCGUGUCCCCCAUUUUUUACAUCCAUGGCAUCCAUGUUUUUUCUGCUCUCUUGGAUGCUGAAGGGGAGGGCAGGGAGAGUUCCUGGCUGAAGAACACCAAUACCAACUUUACCUAUGUAAGUCACAGAGACUGAAACUAACCUCCGCCGAUCACAGACCAUAGCAAAAACUUUUGUCAGGGUUUUGAAGUAUGCUAGUGCAGCUUCAGAACUGGGUCAUGCAAGCUUGGGGAGGUGAAGGCAGGAGAGGCUAAUCUGUUUAACUAUACAAGAAGCCUGCAAAGGUCAGGGAGGAUCUACGUAGGUGCUCAGAUAGAUGAACUAAGAAGGAACAUUGGUUAUAACCAGUUCGGCUCCAGGUCUUGACCAAUAGGUUCAGACUGCACAGCACUUAGCCUUAGCUGAAAAAGUGUGGAGAACUUGGUUCCUCCAUAUUUGCCAAACAUAGAGGUGUAAAUUGCCUUCCCACUGAAUCCCAUGGAAUGUUUUAUUAUAUAUGACAAGGUGAAUGAUUAUUAUUAUUAUUUGCAAGACCGACCUUCAAACCUUUGAUAAAUGUCUUUUCUAUACUUUAGCAAAUGCUUUGAAGUUCUCUGGGAAGUGCAAGAUUAUUUUUUCUGAGUAUAAAUUAAGCAUAGAGACAAUAUAUUUCCUUUUCAAAAAAUAAAAAAGACCAUUCCCUAGUUUCUAAUUAUGAGCUGUGUACUAGCAAGUUUGUGAAGGAUUUCUCUACACUGAUAAAUCUAUUGUUGCAAAGCUGUAUAUUUUAAAUGUUAACCAUUGUUAUAGAUAUCAGAUUUCUGUAAGUAAAGCUUGUACCACUUUGAUGAUCUAUGUUCAUACUUUGUUACUAAUCAUUUGAAAUGUGGAUUUCCUGUGGAAUUAUAUUUCAUAAACCUC